rnacentral:rRNA from 1 species
AUUGAACGCUGGCGGCAGGCUUAACACAUGCAAGUCGAGCGGAGAUGAGGUGCUUGCACCUUAUCUUAGCGGCGGACGGGUGAGUAAUGCUUAGGAAUCUGCCUAUUAGUGGGGGACAACAUUCCGAAAGGAAUGCUAAUACCGCAUACGUCCUACGGGAGAAAGCAGGGGAUCUUCGGACCUUGCGCUAAUAGAUGAGCCUAAGUCGGAUUAGCUAGUUGGUGGGGUAAAGGCCUACCAAGGCGACGAUCUGUAGCGGGCCUGAGGAGAUGUUCCCGUAAAACGGGACUGAGACACGGCCCAGACUUCGACGGGAGGCAGGCGUGGGGGAAAUUGGAAAAUGGGGGGAACCCUGAUCCAGCCAUGCCGCGUGUGUGAAGAAGGCCUUAUGGUUGUAAAGCACUUUAAGCGAGGAGGAGGCUACUGAGACUAAUACUCUUGGAUAGUGGACGUUACUCGCAGAAUAAGCACCGGCUAACUCUGUGCCAGCAGCCGCAGUAAAAC